rnacentral:rRNA from 1 species
GACGAACGCUGGCGGCGUGCCUAAUACAUGCAAGUAGGACGCAGUUGCGAACGGGUGAGUAACGCGUAGGUAACUACCUAUUAGAGAGGGAUAACUAUUGUAUACGAUAGCGAAUACUGCAUACUAGUAGAUGGACCUGCUUUGUAUUAGGUAGGAGUUAGGGUAAAGGCCUACCUAGGGAACGAGACAUACUCGACCUGAGGAGGUGAUCGGCCACACAGGGAAUGGGAAACGGCCCAGACUCCUAAGGGAGGCAGCAGUAGGGAAUCUUCGGCAAUGGGGGGAAACCUGACCGAGCAACGCCGGGUGAGUGAAGAAGGUUUUCGGAUCGUAAAGCUCUGUUGUUAAGGAAGCGGUACUUAACCAGAAAGGGACGGCUAACUACGUGCCAGCCGCCGCGGUAAUAC